GUUAUAGGGUCAAGCGAACAAGUGCAUGUGGUGGAUGCCUUGGCGAUCACAGGCGAUGAAGGACGCGGUAGCCUGCGAAAAGCUACGGGGAGCUGGCAAACAAGCUUUGAUCCGUAGAUGUCCGAAUGGGGAAACCCGGCCCUUUUGGGUCAUCCUAGACUGAAUACAUAGGUCUAGUGAAGCGAACGCGGUGAACUGAAACAUCUAAGUAACCGCAGGAAAAGAAAUCAACCGAGAUUCCCAAAGUAGUGGCGAGCGAAAUGGGAUGAGCCUUGUACUCUUUAUUUGUAUUGUUAGCCGAACGCUCUGGAAAGUGCGGCCAUAGCAGGUGAUAGCCCUGUAGGCGAAAACAGUAUGAAAGAACUAGGUGUACGACAAGUAGGGCGGGACACGUGAAAUCCUGUCUGAAGAUGGGGGGACCAUCCUCCAAGGCUAAAUACUCGUGAUCGACCGAUAGUGAACCAGUACCGUGAGGGAAAGGCGAAAAGAACCCCGGGAGGGGAGUGAAAUAGAUCCUGAAACCGCAUGCAUACAAACAGUCGGAGCCUCGUAAGGGGUGACGGCGUACCUUUUGUAUAAUGGGUCAGCGACUUACGUUCAGUAGCAAGCUUAACCGUAUAGGGCAGGCGUAGCGAAAGCGAGUCCGAAUAGGGCGUUCAGUUGCUGGGCGUAGACCCGAAACCAGGUGAUCUAUCCAUGGCCAGGAUGAAGGUGCGGUAACACGUACUGGAGGUCCGAACCCACUAACGUUGAAAAGUUAGGGGAUGAGCUGUGGAUAGGGGUGAAAGGCUAAACAAACCUGGAAAUAGCUGGUUCUCUCCGAAAACUAUUUAGGUAGUGCCUCGUGUCUCACCUUCGGGGGUAGAGCACUGUCAUGGUUGGGGGGUCUAUUGCAGAUUACCCCGCCAUAGCAAACUCCGAAUACCGAAGAGUGCAAUCACGGGAGACAGACAUCGGGUGCUAACGUCCGGUGUCAAGAGGGAAACAACCCAGACCGCCAGCUAAGGUCCCCAAAUAUGGCUAAGUGGGAAACGAAGUGGGAAGGCUAAAACAGUCAGGAGGUUGGCUUAGAAGCAGCCACCCUUUAAAGAAAGCGUAAUAGCUCACUGAUCGAGUCGUCCUGCGCGGAAGAUGUAACGGGGCUAAGCCAUAUACCGAAGCUGCGGAUGCGUGC
rnacentral:rRNA from 1 species